rnacentral:lncRNA from 1 species
UUAAAAUACACACAAAAAUCGUUAUAAAUCGCAAAAAGCAACAAGAAACAAGCCGUUAAAGUCGACACAAUAGCAUCUGAAUUUGGCUUGUCAAGCUUGUUUUCCCGCGUUUUGUUCCCGUAUCCUAGGAUACGAGGCCUCGUCACGAUUUAUGAAUAAGGUCUAUAGACUUUAUGUUAUCAUUGGAAAACACGUGUGCCUUGUUAUCUUAGGAAUAUAGUGGGGAAUUUUGACAGCUAGCUGUUCCUUGCCCAACAGUGGGGAUUUUGACCACAAAAUUUUAAAAAUGUCAAAUUUCCCCUGGGUUUCCCGCAGGUGCAUAAUACAGCCAAAAUCAAAAUCAGGCCAGACAAAAUGAUGGCCUGACAAAUGUGCGGCCCAGUACCGGUCACGUUUGACGCACGCCGAUUAUCGCUAUCUCGUUCAAUUUUAUGGCCUGAAUAUCGCUCAUGUUUGGUGCAGGCUUCCUCCUCACUUUGUAAAUCCACUAGCAAUUUCUGCUACUAUCAGCCAUUAAUCAGUGCCGUAGAUACCAAAGGUGUGGUGACUUGAGUGAGCCCCCCUUCUCAAUAAUUUGUAAACUACCAAUAAUUUGUGAAGUUUGAAGGGAAAUAAUGACCUAAUAAUCGCCCCUGACUAAUCAGCUCCCCCUCCCCCAAAUACAGAAUUGCUGUGUAAAUGUUGAUGCUGUGCAAAUUUGUAAUUAUUUACAUUCAUUCAAACCUUCAGAAAAGAAUUGUCUUAACCUAUUUAGAAGCAGGUUUAUCGGCGCUAGUGCACAUUUUCUUCAAAAGCUUUCAGUUGCCGCUUGAUUAACUUGAACGAUAUAUUUCAACUUUCAACCUACAAAAGUUGUUAGUGCGUUUUAAACAGUCAAAAGUCGAAAUGGCAUGCAUAUUGGGUAAAAUAUAUAGAGGAAAGCACGAAAAAGAAUAUUGUUUAACAAAGUAGCGGUUCAGUAUAUAAAAGCGGGGGCCCCCACCGGAAAUUAUAUACUAAUAACAAAAGUACGCAUUCUACGGUACAAAUAAACACUGCUACAGUACAAUACUAGCCAAUAUUCAAAGCACAUUAUAUUCGAGUACAAUGUCAGCACAAAAGUAGUAAGUUAAAAUGUACAAGUGGCGCUAACGGGCAUUCCUGAUUCGAUCUGCAAUCAUUAAUUCAAGGAGCAAAAAUGCACUUCAAGCGACGCUUUAAAACAUAAACGAUAAAAUAAAUGGUUUACUUACUGUAUUUUAUAAACGUUCAAGAAAAAUGAUGCGGUGUAGUACCAAUUUCGUCGCUUAAAACGUAAAAUUUAAAAGCACUCACAAUAAUAGUAUUGCGAUCCUGUCUCAAAUUUGAACCGUUUCACCGAGUCUCCCUAUACUGUGACGGUGUGACCGAACUGUGGCACUGCAGCAAAAAUUAAUAUCGCCGUCACACCCACAAACGUCUGUGGCCACUCCUAAAUAGCCAAUCCCGUUCCUGGUAACAAUUGCUACAAACCGUUGAUUGGCGGUUUAAAACUAGAAUUGUAAGCAUUUCAAAAUUAUGUGGGUGUGGUUAUAGACAUUUGUGGGAGUGAUACGACACCACAGUUCAGUGAGUUCAUCACGGUACAGUCAUCUUCAGAAUGCAUACCACGUUUCCAAAGCCAACUACCUAUAUCUAUAAAACUCACUACAAAACGUGGCAUUCUCCUGAAGAUUACUGUAAAGUAAUAGUGGAAACACAGAGAAUGAAAAUGUUUAAAACAACUUAAGGAGCAGUCAAUUGCUUUUGUGUUUAAGAGGCAAUUUUUUUCAAUGUCACGUAUUUGGCAUGUUGUAAAAGACGGACUGGACUGGGAAAACGCGGACUCCGUGUUUUCCAUAUUUUUCUCUGACGUCAGACUCCGUGUUUUCCAUAUUUUACGGCGGACUCCGUGUUUUCCAUAUGACUUCGUUUUUUCCAUAUUUUUCUCUGACGUCAGACUCCGUGUUUUCCAUAUUUUAAGACUCCGGGAC